AUGGCCGUGCUUCUCCGCCCCAAGGAGCAUCAUGACAUGCCCGACGGCACCACCCUGGGGUUCCACACAUUCUCCUGCGAAGAGGAUCAGAUGCCGUCCCAUGUGGUAUGUGUCCGUCAGGACUACUCACGGCCUUGCGCACGGUUUGCUGUCUUCUCAUCGGACACCAUGGAGUGGCAGAUCUUCCCGGAGACUGCGACGCCGCUGCCUCAGGGCUUCAGGCGCACAGCUAGCACCGUGCUGCAUGGGUUUAUAUGUUGGCAAUGCGAGUCCAUUAACGGAGUGGCUAUCAGCGAGUACAUUUUCGUGCUCAAAACAGAUACAUUUCAGUUCUCUCGAAUGGAUCUACCGCAGCCCUUGAGAGCGGUACACCAAACAUUUAAGAUUGGUCAGACCAAUGAUGGGAAGCUCUGUAUUGUGAAUGAGAAGGAAUGCACGUUUAGUAUUUGGAUCUUGACAGCCGGCGAGGACGGCAUCGAGAGAUUUGUGCUGCACAAGAUGUUCCCGUUGCAAGCUAGCUUUAUGGAGGUCACUAGCUGUUCAGUGGAAGAUACAAUCUCAGUGCGUCUCAUAACGGUUUUCAACGGUUUUGUGUACUUUGCACUUCGCCCAUGGAGGAAUUACGUGGAUCAGUUCAAAUCCCCUGAGUGGUUCAUGUCCAUGUCUCUGGAAACAGCGGAGCUGAAGCAGCAUCUGAACAAUACAGCGGCCUGUCUUCCCUGUCCUUCCCUACUCCUGGCCUCCUUCUAUGGAAUACAUCUCGGAGGAUUCAAAAUCUAA
rnacentral:rRNA from 1 species